UGGCUGUGUGCGUGCCAAGGGACAGU
rnacentral:piRNA from 1 species